GCCCUCGUAGCUUAAUGGAUAAAGCAAGGCUCUUCUAAGGCUUAGAUGGAGGUUCGAUUCCUCUCGAGGGUA
rnacentral:tRNA from 1 species